rnacentral:rRNA from 1 species
UGUAAUGGAGAGGGUGUCCGCAAGGAAAUGUAGUGAGAGGUGCUGCAUGGCUGUCGUCAGCUCGUGUUGUGAAAUGUUGGGUUAAGUCUCGCAACGAGCGCAACCCCUAUCGUCUGUUGCCAGCAUUAAGUUGGGCACUCUGACGAGACUGCCUGGGUUAACCAGGAGGAAGGUGGGGAUGACGUCAAGUCCUCAUGGCCCUUAUGUCUAGGGCUACACACGUAAUACAAUGGCGCGUACAAAGGGAAGCGAACUCGCAAGGGGGAGCAAAUCUCAAAAAGCGCGCCUCAGUUCGGAUUGAAGUCUGCAACUCGACUUCAUGAAG